GGCUCACCAGGCGACGAUCAGUAGCCGGCCUGAGAGGGUGAACGGCCACACUGGGACUGAGACACGGCCCAGACUCCUACGGGAGGCAGCAGUGGGGAAUCUUCCGCAAUGGGCGAAAGCCUGACGGAGCAAUGCCGCGUGAGUGAAGAAGGCCUUCGGGUUGUAAAACUCUGUCCUAAGGGAAGAAUGUGCUUUAUGUGAAUAAUGUGAGGCAAUGACGGUACCUUGGGAGGAAGCCCCGGCUAACUACGUGCCAGCAGCCGCGGUAAUACGUAGGGGGCAAGCGUUGUCCGGAAUUACUGGGCGUAAAGCGCGCGUAGGCGGAUAAUUAAGUCUGGUG
rnacentral:rRNA from 1 species